rnacentral:rRNA from 1 species
UACGAAGGGGGCUAGCGUUGUUCGGAAUCACUGGGCGUAAAGCGCACGUAGGCGGAUUUUUAAGUCAGGGGUGAAAUCCCGGGGCUCAACCUCGGAACUGCCUUUGAUACUGGGAGUCUAGAGUCCGGAAGAGGUGAGUGGAACUGCGAGUGUAGAGGUGAAAUUCGUAGAUAUUCGCCAGAACACCAGUGGCGAAGGCGGCUCACUGGUCCGGAACUGACGCUGAGGUGCGAAAGCGUGGGGAG